rnacentral:siRNA from 1 species
UAACAAGGAGAUAUUCGCGGA